rnacentral:rRNA from 1 species
GAUGAACGCUGGCGGCGUGCCUAAUACAUGCAAGUCGAGCGAACAGACGAGAGUGCUUGCACUCUCUGACGUUAGCGGCGGACGGGUGAGUAACACGUGGGUAACCUACCUAUAAGACUGGGAUAACUUCGGGAAACCGGAGCUAAUACCGGAUAAUAUUUAGCUUCGCAUGAAGCAAUAGUGAAAGACGGUUCUGCUGUCACUUAUAGAUGGACCCGCGGUGUAUUAGCUGGUUGGUGAGGUAACGGCUCACCAAGGCAACGAUACAUAGCCGACCUGAGAGGGUGAUCGGCCACACUGGGACUGAGACACGGCCCAGACUCCUACGGGAGGCAGCAGUAGGGAAUCUUCCGCAACGGACGAAAGUCUGACGGAGCAAUGCCGCGUGAGUGAAGAAGGUUUUCGGAUCGUAAAACUCUGUUGUAAGGGAAGAACAAGUACGUUAGUAACUGAACGUACCUUGACGGUACCUGACCAGAAAGCCACGGCUAACUACGUG